GACGAACGCUGGCGGCGUGCUUAACACAUGCAAGUCGAACGAUGAAGCCGGAGCUUGCUCUGGUGAAUUAGUGGCGAACGGGUGAGUAACACGUGAGUAACCUGCCCUUGACUCUGGGAUAACUGCGGGAAACUGUAGCUAAUACCGGAUACGACCCUCGGAGGCAUCUCCUGGGGGUGGAAAGAAUUUCGGUCAAGGAUGGACUCGCGGCCUAUCAGCUAGUUGGUGAGGUAAAGGCUCACCAAGGCGACGACGGGUAGCCGGCCGGAGAGGGUGACCGGCCACACUGGGACUGAGACACGGCCCAGACUCCUACGGGAGGCAGCAGUGGGGAAUAUUGCACAAUGGGCGCAAGCCUGAUGCAGCAACGCCGCGUGAGGGAUGACGGCCUUCGGGUUGUAAACCUCUUUUAGCAGGGAAGAAGCGAAAGUGACGGUACCUGCAGAAAAAGCACCGGCUAACUACGUGCCAGCAGCCGCAGUAAGAC
rnacentral:rRNA from 1 species